UAAGUAGACCGCCUGGGGAGUACGGUCGCAAGAUUAAAACUCAAAUGAAUUGACGGGGGCCCGCACAAGCGGUGGAGCACGUGGUUUAAUUUGACGCAACGCGAAGAACCUUACCAGGUCUUGACAUACAGGGAACUUUCCAGAGAUGGAUUGGUGCCUUCGGGAACUCUGAUACAGGUGCUGCAUGGCUGUCGUCAGCUCGUGUCUUGAGAUGUUGGGUUAAGUCCCGUAACGAGCGCAACCCCUGUCCUUAGUUGCCAGCACGUAAUGGUGGGAACUCUAAGGAGACUGCCGGUGACAAACCGGAGGAAGGUGGGGAUGACGUCAAGUCAUCAUGGCCCUUACGACCUGGGCUACACACGUGCUACAAUGGGCAGUACAAAGGGUUGCCAAGCCGCGAGGUGGAGCCAAUCCCAUAAAACUGUUCGUAGUCCGGAUUGGAGUCUGCAACUCGACCCCAUGAAGUCGGAAGCGCU
rnacentral:rRNA from 1 species